UUCAAAUUGAGAGUUUGAUCCUGGCUCAGGACGAACGCUGGCGGCGUGCCUAAUACAUGCAAGUCGAGCGAGCUGAAUUCAAAGAUCCCUUCGGGGUGAUUUGUUGGACGCUAGCGGCGGAUGGGUGAGUAACACGUGGGCAAUCUGCCCUAAAGACUGGGAUACCACUUGGAAACAGGUGCUAAUAC
rnacentral:rRNA from 1 species